rnacentral:rRNA from 1 species
AGUGCGGAAUAGCCCAGGGAAACUUGGAGUAAUACCGUAUACGCCCGAAAGGGGAAAGAAUUUCGCUAUAGGAUGGGCCCGCGUAGGAUUAGCUAGUUGGUGAGGUAAUGGCUCACCAAGGCGAGACUCCUUAGCUGGUUUGAGAGAACGACCAGCCACACUGGGACUGAGACACGGCCCAGACUCCUACGGGAGGCAGCAGUGGGGAAUAUUGGACAAUGGGCGCAAGCCUGAUCCAGCCAUGCCGCGUGAGUGAUGAAGGCCUUAGGGUUGUAAAGCUCUUUUGCCGGGGACGAUAAU